rnacentral:rRNA from 1 species
UGUGUAGGCGGUUGCGCAAGUCUGGUGUGAAAUCUUCACCGCUCAACGGGAAGAGGUCACUGGAAACUGCGUAACUCGAGUAUGGUAGAGGCAAGCGGAAUUCCUGGUGUAGCGGUGGAAUGUGUAGAUAUCAGGAAGAACAUCUGUGGCGAAGGCGGCUUGCUGGGCCAUCACUGACGCUGAGACACGAAAGCGUGGGGAGCGAACGGGAUUAGAUACCCCGGUAGUCCACGCCAUAAACGGUGCGCACUAGGUGUGGGGGGUAUCGACCCCCCCUGUGCCGAAGUUAACACAUUAAGUGCGCCGCCUGGGGAGUACGGCCGCAAGGUUGAA